rnacentral:rRNA from 1 species
AGGGUUCGAUUCUGGCUCAGGAUGAACGCUGGCGGCGUGCUUAACACAUGCAAGUCGAACGGGAUCCAUCAGGCUUUGCUUGGUGGUGAGAGUGGCGAACGGGUGAGUAAUGCGUGACCGACCUGCCCCAUGCACCGGAAUAGCUCCUGGAAACGGGUGGUAAUGCCGGAUGCUCCAUCACAUCGCAUGGUGUGUUGGGAAAGCCUUUGCGGCAUGGGAUGGGGUCGCGUCCUAUCAGCUUGAUGGCGGGGUAACGGCCCACCAUGGCUUCGACGGGUAGCCGGCCUGAGAGGGCGACCGGCCACAUUGGGACUGAGAUACGGCCCAGACUCCUACGGGAGGCAGCAGUGGGGAAUAUUGCACAAUGGGCGCAAGCCUGAUGCAGCGACGCCGCGUGAGGGAUGGAGGCCUUCGGGUUGUAAACCUCUUUUGUUAGGGAGCAAGGCACUUUGUGUUGAGUGUACCUUUCGAAUAAGCACCGGCUAACUACGUGCCAGCAGCCGCGGUAAUACGUAGGGUGCAAGCGUUAUCCGGAAUUAUUGGGCGUAAAGGGCUCGUAGGCGGUUCGUCGCGUCCGGUGUGAAAGUCCAUCGCUUAACGGUGGAUCCGCGCCGGGUACGGGCGGGCUUGAGUGCGGUAGGGGAGACUGGAAUUCCCGGUGUAACGGUGGAAUGUGUAGAUAUCGGGAAGAACACCAAUGGCGAAGGCAGGUCUCUGGGCCGUUACUGACGCUGAGGAGCGAAAGCGUGGGGAGCGAACAGGAUUAGAUACCCUGGUAGUCCACGCCGUAAACGGUGGAUGCUGGAUGUGGGGCCCGUUCCACGGGUUCCGUGUCGGAGCUAACGCGUUAAGCAUCCCGCCUGGGGAGUACGGCCGC